UGUAGCUUACCAAUGACUGUGCCUUGUGAGUAACCAAUAUAGUAUAGUUUUUCCUGUCCAGUCUUCUUCAUGAUGAAGUUUUUGGCUGCUGGAAGAUCAAACUUGGUCAUCUCAUCAAAACUGCAGAUAGGAGAUUGAGAGAUCCAGUGUUUAGAGCUACUGGAUAUAGAAGAUACUACUUGAGCUUUGCUGGGUUAUUUUCUCCCCUGACAUCAAAAAGAGAUUCUGACUUCAAGGAGCAUUGGGCUGAACUGGAAUGGCCUACCUACGAGUAACAGAAUCCCUAGACUCUGCUACCUGUGAGACCUUGGGCAAAGAUGAGGAGUGUAGCAAUAUGAGGAGCUGUGUCAGGCACCAUCUGCCUUCUGGCCUCUGAAGAGGAAAGAAACACUCCUAAUUUAUGCAAUACAAUUUGGAGUUUCAAAUUCAAACAUAUGUUGCCAUACUUCAGCUUUGGAUGAACGAAGCAAGUCUUCCUUUAACCUCUCCUUGUUUGUGAGGUGGCAGCCACGCAGGAAUGGAAACCGUGGGAAAUGCUGGGAUGGCAGCUGAAGCCGAACUUGCAGUAGUUCACUAUUAUCACGGAUAACUUCAAGCAGGUAGCAAGAAAGCAGGGUGUCUUUUCAUGUCAGAAACUGCACAGUGUCUGCAGUAACAUUUCUCUGGCAGUACAAAUUCAUGUGGUGCGUUUGCUUUUGCCUUGCUGGAUAGUUACUAUCACCUGCUCUGUUAUGGCACCUUUUUAAAAAGAUACAUGUUCCCUGCUGCUGGAGUAACUCUUGCAUGUGCUGCUGUUCCAGGAAAUAGCAAUGUUGUAAUUAAUUGACUUGAGACAUUCUCAACUGUGGCUGCAGAACACAGAACAAAAUAUGGUUUAUCAUUUUGUGCCUGUGUUUCCAUGGUUGAAAGUGCUGCUUAAGUACUGCUUAUGUUAUUAGAUGUUGUUUAUAAAGCAAAGGCCGUCAGUGACAGCAGUCUUAUGAGUAAGAUAACAUUUUUGGGAGUAUUGCACAAGGAAUUGUAGACUUGUACAGGCAAAACAGCUAUCAAAAGUUACACAGGCCUGGAACACUGAGACACUGUUAAGCUGUUUUUGGCACUGAGAGACCACAUCUCCAGACUGAAUCUGCCAAAGGCCUUAAACAUCUCCAGGUUAGCUACAAAAGACCUUCACUCAUUGCCUUGCCUUCUCAGAGGUGUGGCUGCCGUAUAGCCUCCUUUAUCUGGCCUAUUAGUGUGUAAUCCAAAGAGCUAGUUGUGAAAUCACAUCCCUGGUGUUUUACCUACAACACCAAAACAGGAUUCAUUAAAGUCAUAUACUGAGUGAGUAGCUGCCUAGAAUUAGUUUCCUAAAGGUAUAUUAAUCAUUCACUAGGCUAUAACCUAAGUGCAACUAUUGUACCUGUGGUAUGGAGGUUGGUGUUUGGUAGCUAGAAGCCAGAUUCCUGCCCUUGCACACUCCACUCCAAGAUGAGGAGGGAGCUGACAUCUCUGAGGAACACCAGGCAGGUUUGGGACCUGGUUUCUGGUCCUUGUAACUCCCUGAACAUCACAAAGUGAAGGAGUCCAUCCAAAACAGGACCUAAACUUCUGGCUCAAGCAUAGGAGAAGCUUGUGAAUGUAAUGGGAUAAUGUGUAGGGCUGUGA